GCGGAAGUGGCGGAAUUGGCAGACGCGCUAGACUUAGGAUCUAGUAUCUUUCGGUGUGCAGGUUCAAGUCCUGUCUUCCGCACCA
rnacentral:tRNA from 1 species